GUUUUUGACCAAACCUUCUUGUCACACCCUCAUCUGAUCUCUGAAGCUAAGCAAGAUUGGACCUGGUUAGUACUUGGAUGGGAGACCGCAGAAUACCAGGUGUCACAGUGG
rnacentral:rRNA from 1 species